AUGGCCCUUAGUGGGUAGGCUUCACACGUCAAUACAAGUGGUCGGUACAGGAGGGUUGCGACCCGCAGGGGAGCUAAUCCCACAAAGCCGAUCGUAGUCCGGAUCGCAGUCUGCAACUCGACUGCGUGAAGUCGGAAUCGCUAGUAAUCGUGGAUCAGCAUGUCACGGUGAAUACGUUCCCGGGUCUU
rnacentral:rRNA from 1 species